rnacentral:rRNA from 1 species
CAUAAGUUAGAUAGGGAAAGUUUUUCGGUGUAGGAUGAGGCUAUAUUGUAUCAGCUAGUUGGUGAGGUAAUGGCUCACCAAGGCUAUGACGCAUAACUGGUCUGAGAGGAUGAUCAGUCACACUGGAACUGAGACACGGUCCAGACUCCUACGGGAGGCAGCAGUAGGGAAUAUUGCUCAAUGGGGGAAACCCUGAAGCAGCAACGCCGCGUGGAGGAUGACACUUUUCGGAGCGUAAACUCCUUUUGUUAGGGAAGAAUAAUGACGGUACCUAACGAAUAAGCACCGGCUAACUCCGUGCCAGCAGCCGCGGUAAUACGGAGGGUGCAAGCGUUACUCGGAAUCACUGGGCGUAAAGGACGCGUAGGCGGAUUAUCAAGUCUCUUGUGAAAUCCUAUGGCUUAACCAUAGAACUGCUUGGGAAACUG